AGAUUAAGUUAUUAAGGGCGCACGGUGGAUGCCUUGGCACUAGAAGCCGAUGAAGGACGUUACUAACGACGAUAUGCUUUGGGUAGCUGUAAGUAAGCGUUGAUCCAGAGAUUUCCGAAUGGGGGAACCCAACAUGAGUUAUGUCAUGUUAUCGACAUGUGAAUUCAUAGCAUGUCAGAAGGCAGACCCGGAGAACUGAAACAUCUUAGUACCCGGAGGAAGAGAAAGAAAAAUCGAUUCCCUGAGUAGCGGCGAGCGAAACGGGAAAAGCCCAAACCAACAAGCUUGCUUGUUGGGGUUGUAGGACACUCUAUACGGAGUUACAAAAGAACAUGUUAGACGAAUCAUCUGGAAAGAUGAAUCAAAGAAGGUAAUAAUCCUGUAGUCGAAAACAUAUUCUCUCUUGAGUGGAUCCUGAGUACGACGGAGCACGUGAAAUUCCGUCGGAAUCUGGGAGGACCAUCUCCUAAGGCUAAAUACUCUCUAGUGACCGAUAGUGAACCAGUACCGUGAGGGAAAGGUGAAAAGUACCCCGGAAGGGGAGUGAAAGAGAACUUGAAACCGUGUGCUUACAAGUAGUCAGAGCCCGUUAAUGGGUGAUGGCGUGCCUUUUGUAGAAUGAACCGGCGAGUUACGAUCUGAUGCAAGGUUAAGCAGCAAAUGUGGAGCCGCAGCGAAAGCGAGUCUGAAUAGGGCGUUGAGUAUUUGGUCGUAGACCCGAAACCAGGUGAUCUACCCUUGGUCAGGUUGAAGUUCAGGUAACACUGAAUGGAGGACCGAACCGACUUACGUUGAAAAGUGAGCGGAUGAACUGAGGGUAGCGGAGAAAUUCCAAUCGAACUUGGAGAUAGCUGGUUCUCUCCGAAAUAGCUUUAGGGCUAGCCUCAAGUGAUGAUUAUUGGAGGUAGAGCACUGUUUGGACGAGGGGCCCCUCUCGGGUUACCGAAUUCAGACAAACUCCGAAUGCCAAUUAAUUUAACUUGGGAGUCAGAACAUGGGUGAUAAGGUCCGUGUUCGAAAGGGAAACAGCCCAGACCACCAGCUAAGGUCCCAAAAUAUAUGUUAAGUGGAAAAGGAUGUGGCGUUGCCCAGACAACUAGGAUGUUGGCUUAGAAGCAGCCAUCAUUUAAAGAGUGCGUAAUAGCUCACUAGUCGAGUGACACUGCGCCGAAAAUGUACCGGGGCUAAACAUAUUACCGAAGCUGUGGAUUGUCCUUUGGACAAUGGUAGGAGAGCGUUCUAAGGGCGUCGAAGCAUGAUCGCAAGGACAUGUGGAGCGCUUAGAAGUGAGAAUGCCGGUGUGAGUAGCGAAAGACGGGUGAGAAUCCCGUCCACCGAUUGACUAAGGUUUCCAGAGGAAGGCUCGUCCGCUCUGGGUUAGUCGGGUCCUAAGCUGAGGCCGACAGGCGUAGGCGAUGGAUAACAGGUUGAUAUUCCUGUACCACCUAGUAUCGUUUUAAUCGAUGGGGGGACGCAGUAGGAUAGGCGAAGCGUGCUGUUGGAGUGCACGUCCAAGCAGUAAGGCUGAGUGUUAGGCAAAUCCGGCACUCAUAAGGCUGAGCUGUGAUGGGGAGAGGAAAUUGUUUCCUCGAGUCGUUGAUUUCACACUGCCGAGAAAAGCCUCUAGAUAGAUAACAGGUGCCCGUACCGCAAACCGACACAGGUAGUCAAGAUGAGAAUUCUAAGGUGAGCGAGCGAACUCUCGUUAAGGAACUCGGCAAAAUGACCCCGUAACUUCGGGAGAAGGGGUGCUCUUUAGGGUUCACGCCCAGAAGAGCCGCAGUGAAUAGGCCCAAGCGACUGUUUAUCAAAAACACAGGUCUCUGCUAAACCGUAAGGUGAUGUAUAGGGGCUGACGCCUGCCCGGUGCUGGAAGGUUAAGAGGAGUGGUUAGCUUCUGCGAAGCUACGAAUCGAAGCCCCAGUAAACGGCGGCCGUAACUAUAACGGUCCUAAGGUAGCGAAAUUCCUUGUCGGGUAAGUUCCGACCCGCACGAAAGGCGUAACGAUUUGGGCACUGUCUCAACGAGAGACUCGGUGAAAUCAUAGUACCUGUGAAGAUGCAGGUUACCCGCGACAGGACGGAAAGACCCCGUGGAGCUUUACUGUAGCCUGAUAUUGAAAUUCGGCACAGCUUGUACAGGAUAGGUAGGAGCCUUUGAAACGUGAGCGCUAGCUUACGUGGAGGCGUUGGUGGGAUACUACCCUAGCUGUGUUGGCUUUCUAACCCGCACCACUUAUCGUGGUGGGAGACAGUGUCAGGCGGGCAGUUUGACUGGGGCGGUCGCCUCCUAAAAGGUAACGGAGGCGCUCAAAGGUUCCCUCAGAAUGGUUGGAAAUCAUUCAUAGAGUGUAAAGGCAUAAGGGAGCUUGACUGCGAGACCUACAAGUCGAGCAGGGUCGAAAGACGGACUUAGUGAUCCGGUGGUUCCGCAUGGAAGGGCCAUCGCUCAACGGAUAAAAGCUACCCCGGGGAUAACAGGCUUAUCUCCCCCAAGAGUUCACAUCGACGGGGAGGUUUGGCACCUCGAUGUCGGCUCAUCGCAUCCUGGGGCUGUAGUCGGUCCCAAGGGUUGGGCUGUUCGCCCAUUAAAGCGGUACGCGAGCUGGGUUCAGAACGUCGUGAGACAGUUCGGUCCCUAUCCGUCGUGGGCGUAGGAAAUUUGAGAGGAGCUGUCCUUAGUACGAGAGGACCGGGAUGGACAUACCUCUGGUGUACCAGUUGUCGUGCCAACGGCAUAGCUGGGUAGCUAUGUAUGGACGGGAUAAGUGCUGAAAGCAUCUAAGCAUGAAGCCCCCCUCAAGAUGAGAUUUCCCAACUUCGGUUAUAAGAUCCCUCGAAGAUGACGAGGUUAAUAGGUUCGAGGUGGAAGCGUGGUGACACGUGGAGCUGACGAAUACUAAUCGAUCGAAGACUUAAUCAAUUUUUAAA
rnacentral:rRNA from 1 species